UCAUAUGCAAGUAAGCCAGACUCGGGGUCCUCACCCGCCAAUCCUUCCUAGCUCUAGGGAAGGCAUUUCCCUGGCUCGAAAUCAAGGUACUUCUCUUUUUGCCUUUUUUUAUAUUUUGAACUGUCUUGCUUACUUACUUCUCUCUUUAUUGUGGAUAUGGCUGGAUCUCAAAGCAAAUUUGCUAAAGUGGCACGCGCUGCCCGCAAAAGGAAGCUUGUCAUCGAGGUUACUAGCCCCCUUGCUAAGUGUGCUUGCCCUGUGGAAGAGGUGAUCAUGCUUUCUCCUCCCCCGCCCCCACCUGCGGCAGAAGAGUCAGCCCGCCUACUUUUUGAGUCUUCUGCCCUGGGCGCUUCUGCUUCUGUCCCAGCUUUUGAACUUCCUGUUGAUGCCCCCACCCCCUCUGCAUUUGCUUCUGCGAGCAUGGGGGUCGAAUCUUCUUGGCCUCCGAGAAUCUAGCGCCUGGCUUUAACGCUAAAUCGGCCGCCCUCGCUUUUUGAAGAUCCUACUCUAAGCCUCCUGGUAAUCAAAAGUUCCUUGAGGCCUGCAGAUCGCCACCACCUGAAUGAGGUCUAGACGGACAAGCUUUUUGAUAAUGCCAUACACUUCGCACUAGAGGGUGUCCUUUGCACCUAUGUG
rnacentral:lncRNA from 1 species